rnacentral:tRNA from 1 species
UGUAAUUAGGUGUAUGUUGGCACAUUAAAUUUUGAGUUUAGGGGAAGUAAAUUAAAUUAUAAAUUA